rnacentral:rRNA from 1 species
AGUGGCGGACGGGUGAGUAACGCGUAGGAAUCUACCUGAUAGUGGGGGAUAGCCCGAAGAAAUUCGGAUUAAUACCGCAUAAUCUAUUCGUAGUAAAGUGGGGGACUUUCGAGCCUCACGCUAUCAGAUGAGCCUGCGUAAGACUAGCUAGUUGGUAGGGUAAAAGCCUACCAAGGCGACGAUCUUUAGCUGGUCUGAGAGGAUGAUCAGCCACAUCGGGACUGAGACACGGCCCGAACUCCUACGGGAGGCAGCAGUGGGGAAUAUUGGACAAUGGGGGCAACCCUGAUCCAGCAAUACCGCGUGUGUGAAGAAGGCCUGAGGGUUGUAAAGCACUUUCAAUUGUGAAGAAAAGCUAGUGGUUAAUAGCCAUUAGCCUUGACGUUAACUUUAGAAGAAGCACCGGCUAACUCCGUGCCAGCAGCCGCGGUAAUACGGAGGGUGCAAGCGUUAAUCGGAAUUACUGGGCGUAAAGCGUGCGUAGGCGGUUUAUUAAGUCAGAUGUGAAAGCCCCGGGCUUAACCUGGGAACUGCAUUUGAAACUGGUCAACUAGAGUAUGGUAGAGGAAAGUGGAAUUUCUGGUGUAGCGGUGAAAUGCGUAGAUAUCAGAAUGAACAUCAAUGGCGAAGGCAACUUUCUGGACCAUACUGACGCUGAGGUACGAAGCGUUGGGAGCAACAGGAUACAUAGCCUGGUAGUUCACGUCGU